CAAGAUUGUUGUGCUUUCUGGUCAAAGUUAAGUAUUUUACUUUACUGUUUGUGUGCCUUCUGCUAAAACUAGAAAAUAAUUAAGGUAGUUAUAAAUCCAAUUUUAUAUUAAUAAUGUCUUAUUAUAUUAAAGAUUUUCCUUGGUCAACAUUGGAAGUGAACAAGAUUUCUGCACAGAGAUUUUUCUUGGUCAAGAGUGCAACAUUAACUGUGGAUAUAAACUUUACGUUCAAAUGAACAUUGGAAGUGAACAACAUUUCUGCACAGAGAUUUUUCUUGGUCAAGAGUGCAACAUUAACUGUGGAUAUAAACUUUACGUUCAAAUGAACAUUGGAAGUGAACAACAUUUCUGCACAGAGAAUUUCCUUGAUCAAGAGUGCAACCAGCCACAUUAGCUGC